ensembl:lncRNA
GGGGUCUUUAUGGGGUCCUAUGGGGUUCUAUGGGGCUCUAUGGGGCAAUAUGUGGUCCUAUGGGGUCCUUAUAGGGUCCUAUCGGGUCCUUAUGGGGUCCUAUGGGGCUCUACGGGGUCCUAUGGGGUCCUAUGGGGGUUUAAAGGGGUUCUAUGGGGGCUUUAUAGGGCCCUAUGUGGUCCUAUGGGGUCCUUAUGGGGUUCUAUGGGGCUCUAUGGGGUCCUAUAGGGGCUUAAAGGGGUCCUUAUGGGGUCUUCUGGGGUUUAUGGUGUCCUAUGGGGUUCUAUGGGGUCCUUAUGGGGUCCUUAUGGGGUCUGAAAAGGUUUAUAGGGUCCUUAUGGGGACCUAUGGGGGCUUUACGGGGUCCUUAUGGGGCUCUAUAGGAGGGGUCUUAGGAGGUCUUAUGGGGUCCUAUGGGGUCCUAUGGGGCUCUAUGGGGUCUUUAUGGGGUCCCAUGGGGGCUUAAAGGAGUCCUUAUAGGGUCCUAUGUGGUCUAUGGUGUCCUAUUGGGUUCUAUGGGGUUCUAUGGGGUCAUUAUGGGGUUCUAUGGGGGCUUAAAGGGGUCCUUAUGGGGUCCUAUGGGGCUCUAUGGGGUCCUAUGGGGUUCUAUGGGGGCUUAAAGGGUUCCUAUGGGUUCAUUAUGGGGUCCUUAUGGGGUCAGAGAGGGCUUAUAGGGUUCUUAUGGGACUCUACGGGGUCUUUAUGGGGUCCUAUGGGGCUCUAUGGGGUCCUAUGGGGCUCUAUGGGGUCCUAUGGGGGCUUAAAGGGGUCCUUAUGGGGCUCUAUGGGGUUCUAUGGAGGCUUAAAGGGGUCCUAUGGGGCUCUAUGAGGGCCUAUGGGGUCCUAUGGGGCUCUAUGGGGUCCUAUAGGGGCUUAAAGGGGUCUUUACGGGGUCCUAUGGGGCUCUCCGGGUCCUUAUGGGGUUCUUAUGGGGUCCUAUGGGAUUCUAUGGGGUCCUUAUGGGGCACUAUGCUGUCCCUAUGAGGUUGUAUGGGAACUCAAAGGGGUUCUAUGGGCUCUAUGGGGUCCUUAUAGGUUCUAUGGGGUCCUAUGGGGACCUCUGGGGGCUUUAUGGGGU